GAAAUGCGAUAACUAGUGUGAAUUGCAGAAUUCCGUGAAUCAUCGAGUCUUUGAACGCACAUUGCGCCCCCUGGUAUUCCGGGGGGCAUGCCUGUCCGAGCGUCAUUGCUGCCCAUCAAGCACGGCUUGUGUGUUGGGUCGUCGUCCCCUCUCCGGGGGGGACGGGCCCCAAAGGCAGCGGCGGCACCGCGUCCGAUCCUCGAGCGUAUGGGGCUUUGUCACCCGCUCUGUAGGCCCGGCCGGCGCUUGCCGAACGCAAAUCAAUCUUUUUCCAGGUUGACCUCGGAUCAGGUAGGGAUACCCGCUGAACUUAAGC
rnacentral:misc_RNA from 1 species